rnacentral:tRNA from 3 species
GAGAGAGGCCCGAGGCACUGGUGACUGCUAAUCCUCCAGCCCCAUGGUUAAACUCCACGGCUCACUCG